rnacentral:rRNA from 1 species
AUUGAACGCUGGCGGCAGGCCUAACACAUGCAAGUCGAGCGGAUGAAGGGAGCUUGCUCCUGGAUUCAGCGGCGGACGGGUGAGUAAUGCCUAGGAAUCUGCCUGGUAAUGGGGGAUAACGUCCGGAAACGGGCGCUAAUACCGCAUACGUCCUGAGGGAGAAAGUGGGGGGUCUUCGGACCUCACGCUAUCAGAUGAGCCUAGGUCGGAUUAGCUAGUUGGUGGGGUAAAGGCCUACCAAGGCGACGAUCCGUAACUGGUCUGAGAGGAUGAUCAGUCACACUGGAACUGAGACACGGUCCAGACUCCUACGGGAGGCAGCAGUGGGGAAUAUUGGACAAUGGGCGAAAGCCUGAUCCAGCCAUGCCGCGUGUGUGAAGAAGGUCUUCGGAUUGUAAAGCACUUUAAGUUGGGAGGAAGGGCAGUAAGUUAAUACCUUGCUGUUUUGACGUUACCAACAGAAUAAGCACCGGCUAACUUCGUG